GACGAACGCUGGCGGCGUGCCUAACACAUGCAAGUCGAGCGAGGUGUAUACACCUAGCGGCGGACGGGUGAGUAACACGUGGGUGACCUGCCUCAAAGUGGGGAAUAGCCUCUCGAAAGGGAGAUUAAUACCGCAUAACAUACGCAUAUUUAACGCUGCGUAUCAAAGGAGAAAUCCGCUUUGAGAUGGGCCCGCGGCGCAUUAGCUAGUUGGUGAGGUAACGGCUCACCAAGGCAACGAUGCGUAGCCGACCUGAGAGGGUGAUCGGCCACACUGGGACUGAGACACGGCCAGACUCCUACGGGAGGCAGCAGUAGGGAAUCUUCCGCAAUGGACGAAAGUCUGACGGAGCAAACGCCGCGUGAGUGAUGAAGGUUUUCGGAUCGUAAAACUCUGUUGUUAGGGAAGAACAAGUGCCGUUCGAAAGGCGGCACCUUGACGGUACCUAACGAGAAAGCCAACGGCUAACUACGUGCCAGCAGCCGCGGUAAUGUACAGUGU
rnacentral:rRNA from 1 species